GAUGAACGCUGGCGGCGUGCCUAAUACAUGCAAGUCGAGCGAACAGACGAGGAGCUUGCUCCUCUGACGUUAGCGGCGGACGGGUGAGUAACACGUGGAUAACCUACCUAUAAGACUGGGAUAACUUCGGGAAACCGGAGCUAAUACCGGAUAAUAUAUUGAACCGCAUGGUUCAAUAGUGAAAGACGGUUUUGCUGUCACUUAUAGAUGUAUCCGCGCCGCAUUAGCUAGUUGGUAAGGUAACGGCUUACCAAGGCAACGAUGCGUAGCCGACCUGAGAGGGUGAUCGGCCACACUGGAAAUGAGAAACGGUCCAGACUCCUACGGGAGGCAGCAGUAGGGAAUCUUCCGCAAUGGGCGAAAGCUUGACGGAGCAACGCCGCGUGAGUGAUGAAGGUCUUCGGAUCGUAAAACUCUGUUAUUAGGGAAGAACAAAUGUGUAAGUAACUAUGCACGUCUUGACGGUACCUAAUCAGAAAGCCACGGCUAACUACGUG
rnacentral:rRNA from 1 species